UGGGGAAUAUUGCACAAUGGGCGAAAGCCUGAUGCAGCGACGCCGCGUGAGGGAUGACGGCCUUCGGGUUGUAAACCUCUUUCAGCAGGGACGAAGCGCAAGUGACGGUACCUGCAGAAGAAGCACCGGCUAACUACGUGCCAGCAGCCGCGGUAAUACGUAGGGUGCAAGCGUUGUCCGGAAUUACUGGGCGUAAAGAGUUCGUAGGCGGUUUGUCGCGUCGUUUGUGAAAACCAGCAGCUCAACUGCUGGCUUGCAGGCGAUACGGGCAGACUUGAGUACUGCAGGGGAUACUGGAAUUCCUGGUGUAGCGGUGAAAUGCGCAGAUAUCAGGAGGAACACCGGUGGCGAAGGCGGGUCUCUGGGCAGUAACUGACGCUGAGGAACGAAAGCGUGGGUAGCGAACAGG
rnacentral:rRNA from 1 species